UUGCGGGAGAGGGUGGCCCACGCAGUGGGUCGGGUGAGGGGUCGCGUGGCCGACGCUAAGCCACCCCUCAUCCGUCA
rnacentral:sRNA from 1 species